rnacentral:sRNA from 2 species
AUCUAUCACUGCUAAUCUAUCACUGCCAAUCUAUCUACCACUGCCAACCUACCCACCGCUGCCAAUCUACCCACCGCUGCCAACCUACCCACCGCUGCCAAUCUACCCACCGCUGCCAAUCUACCCACCGCUGCCAAUCUACCCACCGCUGCCAAUCUACCUACCACUGCCAACCUAUCUAUCACUGCUAAUCUAUCGCUGCUAAUCUAUCGCUGCUAAUCUAUCGCUGCUAAUCUAUCGCCACCAACCUACCUAUCGCUGCCAACCUACCUACCGCUGCCAACCUAUCUAUCACUGCUAAUCUAUCGCUGCUAAUCUAUCGCUGCUAAUCUAUCGCUGCUAAUCUAUCGCUGCUAAUCUAUCGCUGCUAAUCUAUCGCUGCUAAUCUAUCACUGCUAAUCUAUCGCUGCUAAUCUAUCGCCGCCAACCUACCUACCGCUGCCAACCUACCUACCACUGCCAACCUAUCUAUCACUGCCAACCUAUAUAGGGUAAAUCAUGGUCCCAUUUGGUCCCAUUUUGUAAAAUGAGACCAAAUGGGACCAGAAUCACUAAUUUAUUAGUAAAACAUGAUCUGGGACUAGAUUUAUAAUAUAAACAGUGUAAAGUGACUAAUUUGCUAAACACUAUAUGGAACCAGGACUAAGAUAUCUAAUAAUGAGACUGAGGAAAAAUUUGGUCUCAGUUCCAUGCAUGGUCACACAGCCAGUCUACUGCUGUAUACUGAGAUUGCUAUAAAUAACUGAGAUUCUAUUAUAAUAGAUAUAAGUCUGUUUUUUCUUCUAUAUAGUUAUGAUUUAGAGAUUCUAAAUUUUCUUAAAAGUUUUCAAAAGAUUAUAUAUAUUUAUAGUUCUAUAUAAACAGUGAAGAAUAUAAUCAGUA